rnacentral:rRNA from 1 species
UACGGGGGGUGCGAGCGUUGUCCGGAUUCACUGGGCGUAAAGGGCGCGUAGGCGGCCCGAUCAGUCCGGCUUUUAAGAGCGGGGCUCACCCCCGUGGGGGGCCGGGGACGGUCGGGCUGGGGCGCGGCAGAGGGGUGCGGAAUGCCGGGUGUAGUGGUGAAAUGCGUAGAGAUCCGGCGGAACACCGGGUGGUGGAGGCGGCACCCUGGGGCCGAGGCCGACGCUGAGGCGCGAGAGCGUGGGGAGCGAACCGG